rnacentral:rRNA from 1 species
AUCCGGGUUGCGGACAGUGUCUGGUGGGUAGUUUGACUGGGGCGGUCUCCUCCUAAAGAGUAACGGAGGAGCACGAAGGUUGGCUAAUCCUGGUCGGACAUCAGGAGGUUAGUGCAAUGGCAUAAGCCAGCUUGACUGCGAGCGUGACGGCGCGAGCAGGUGCGAAAGCAGGUCAUAGUGAUCCGGUGGUUCUGAAUGGAAGGGCCAUCGCUCAACGGAUAAAAGGUACUCCGGGGAUAACAGGCUGAUACCACCCAAGAGUUCAUAUCGACGGCGGUGUUUGGCACCUCGAUGUCGGCUCAUCACAUCCUGGGGCUGAAGUAGGUCCCAAGGGUAUGGCUGUUCGCCAUUUAAAGUGGUACGCGAGCUGGGUUUAGAACGUCGUGAGACAGUUCGGUCCCUAUCUGCCGUGGGCGCUGGAGAACUGAGGGGGGCUGCUCCUAGUACGAGAGGACCGGAGUGGACGCAUCACUGGUGUUCGGGUUGUCAUGCCAAUGGCACUGCCCGGUAGCUAAAUGCGGAAGAGAUAAGUGCUGAAAGCAUCUAAGCACGAAACUUGCCCCGAGAUGAGUUCUCCCUGACUCCUUGAGAGUCCUGAAGGAACGUUGAAGACGACGACGUUGAUAGGCCGGGUGUGUAAGCGCAGCGAUGCGUUGAGCUAACCGGUACUAAUGAACCGUGAGGCUUAACCUUACAACGCCGAAG